rnacentral:lncRNA from 1 species
AUAGUUCUUUUUCGUUUGAUAAUCCAUUUUCCACCUAUCUUUAUAUAUUAUAUUUCCUUUUAUGUCAUUUCUGAAUUUCUUAGGAUCUCUAAAAUUGUGUAUAAUAUUUAUUUUUCUAAUUGAAAAUACUGAUAGGAUAGCAUUGGAAAUGUAAAUGAGUUAAAUACCUAAUAAAAAAUGGAAAAAAAAAAAAAAAGAAAAUACUGAUAGGAAACAUGGUAGAUCUUUUAAUUAUUUAAUUUAGGAACUAAAAGACUUCAAAUAUAACACAGUACAGCCUUUAUUUAACCAACUUUUUCUUUUCCUCCAUUUUUUAUUUUUAUGUAUUUUUAAUUGGAAAUAGAUUUUUUUUCACACAAGAUAUUAUUAUGGUAUCUUUUCUUCCUACUCCUCCCAGUUCCUCCCCACAUCUCCUUCCAUCUUGAUCCACCCCAAAUCCUUAGAAAACAAGCUGGCAUCUAAGGAAUAAUAAUAAAGUACAUUAAGAUAAAACAAAACAAAACAAAUUGGAAUAGGACAAAACAACUAAGUGAGAAAAAGAUCCAAAGAAAAACCACAGGAGACGCACAGUUGAGAGACAUGCAUGAAUCUCAUAAAAACGUAAGACUGAAAGCCAUACUAUGUAUGUGAAGGACCUAUAAGGUGAAACAAAGGAUGCCCUGAUGUAACUUUAUGAGAGAGAGCAUCUCCUAAGAUCCCAUUGAGUUUGUUUUGUCCCGGCCAUCUAGGCUGGGCAUGGGGCCUACCUUCAAGUGGUUGGUUUUCCCAGGGAGACUCCCUUGGAGAAAACUCAUUUUUUAUUUGCAAAUGGCUAUCAAUUGGAGAUAGAGUCUUGGUGGAAGCAUGUGUCCACUUUCAGCUCUAGGAGCCCAUCUGGUGCAGCCCCAUGCAGGCUCUGUGCAUGCUGCCACAGUCUCUGUGAGUUCAUCUGUGUGCAGUCCUGUUGAGUCUAGAAGGCCUUCACUCCAUCUCCUCUGCUCUUAUGCUAUCUCUGUCCCCUCUUCCAAAGAGUUCUGCCCUGAGGAGAGGGAUCUGAUGAGAGACGUUUCUUUUGGGCCUGAGUGUUCCUCAAUCUUUCACUUUCUGCAUAUUGUCUGUCUCUGGGUCUAUGUAUUUGUUUAUAUCUGCUGCAGAAAAAAAAAAGCUACUCUAAUAAUGGUUGAGCAAGGCAUGGGUCUAUGAGUACAGCAGAGUGCCAUUUGGAGUCAUGUAUUGCUAUGUUCAUUUCGCAGAGCAGUAGUGCUUGGUUUUCUCCUAGGCCCCUGGCCUGUCUCGUCUCAGAUUCUUGGUUACCCAAACAGAAUUGGGUAUGGCUUUUAUCUCAUGAAGUAGGCCUUAGUUCAAAUUAAAUAUUGGCUGGUUAUCCCACAGGGUUUAGACCACUAUUGCGCUAGCAUAUCUUGUCGACAGGUUAUCAUUAUAUGUCAGAGGUUUGUAGCUGGGUUGUUGGUAUUUACCUUUCUCCUCUGGUGGUGUUCAGAGUACCUCCUGUACUGUAAACUAUAUCAUGGAAGCUAGUUCAUAGGGAGGAAGACUCUAGAUCAGCACCAGCUUGACCUCUCCAUGUUCAAUGACUUGUGUAGCUGUUUCCUUUCAGUUUGUGGAAAGCCAUCAUAUCAACCAUAUCCAUCCAGACUAUUUGCCUUUCCUAGGGAGAUCAGUCCCUCCUUGCUAGUCCCUUAUUCUCUACCUAGCCUCUGUGGUUAUAUGAGUAUUUAGCAUGUUUAUCUUUGACUUAAAUGUAAUAGCCACAUAUAAGCAAUUACAUAUACAUUUGUCUUUCUGGGUCUGAGGCACCUCGCGCAGGAUUUUUUUUUUUCCCCUGCAUUUACCUGUGAAUUUCAUGAUUUCACUUAAAAAAAACCAACAAAACAAAACAAAACAAAACAAAACAAAACAAAAAAACAGUUGAGUUAUAUUCCAUAGUAUAAGCGUACCGUACUUUCUUUACCUAUUGAUCUACUGAAGAUCCAUACAGGUUGUUUCCAAUUUCUGGCAAUUAUGCAUAGAACAAUAAUGAACUUGGCUGAGGAGGUGUCUCUGUAGUUGAAUAAAGUGUCUUUUGAGUAUAUGCUCAAGAGUGGUUAUUUCUGGGUCUUGAGGUAGGUGAAUGACCAUCUCUUCAGGAACCAUCACACUGAUUUCCCUAUGGGAAGUACAAGUUUGCAGUCCCCCAGCAGUGGAUGAGUGUUCCCUUCACAUCCUCGCCAGCAAGAGCUCUCCUCAUUUUAUUGAUCUUGUCCAUUCUGAGAUGGAAUCUCAGUGUAGUUCUGAUUUGCAUUUCCCCGAUGACUAAGGAUAUUGAACAUUUAUUCAAGUGCUUCUCAGCCAUUUGAAAUUUCUCUUUUGAGAAUUCUCUGUUUAGAUCUGUACCCCAUUUUUUUUUAAUUGUUUUUUUUUUCUUGGCAUCUAGUAUUUUUGAGUUCUUUAUAUAUUUUGGAUAUUAGUCAUUUAUUGGGUGUGUAGUUGGUAAAAAUCUUUUCCCAUUUGUAGGCUGCCACUUUGUUUGAAUGAUAGCGUCCUUUGCCAUACAGAAGCGUUUCGGUUUCAGGAGAUUACAUUUAUUAAUUGUUAAUUUUAGUGCCUUUGGCAUUGGUGUUCCGUUCAGAAGUUCUUUUCCUGUGACAGUAAGUCCAAGACUAUUCCCCACUUUCUCUUCCAUGAGAUUUAGUGUAUCUGGCCUCUUAUUGAAGAGGUCUGGUCUGUGAUCCAUUUUAGUUUUAUGCAGGAUGAUGAGUGUGGGUCUCUUUGCAUUCUUCUCCGUGCACAUGUGCAGCCAUUUAGUUUGACCAGCACAAGUUGUUGAGAAGUUAUUUUUCACCUUGUAUUUCUGGCUUAUUUAAAAAAAAAAUCAGGUUUCUGUGUUUAGACUUAUUUCUGUGUCAUUGAUCAAUAUAUCUGUUAAACCAACCAUUUAACAAGUUAGAAACACCUCAUUACAAUCAAGAACAAGGCACUGUUUAGCAUUUUUCUGGAAGUAGUAACAAAUCUAAUAAGAAUGAGAAAUAAAAAGUAAUGGAUUUUAGGCAAAAUUAUAUAUAUUAUGACUGCCUAAUUUAAAGAUAACUUAAAAUGCAAUUAUUUAAAAGCUAAUGGGUAACUAGUUAAGUUAAGGUAAGAAACAAGUUUGGAUUGGAAGGUAAAUGCUGGAAGAGUCCCACAGGAAGAAGAGCUCAGGCUGCUACAGAGGAGGCUCAGCUGUCUGCCUCACAGACAGGUUCUCACUGAACAACCUGUGUCAGCACAGAGGCAUUCCUAGCCAUCACAAGGACAUUAAACAUGUCUUAAAGGAUGAAAAUGAAACUUCAUUAUUAAUAAUAGAGUCUUAUUACACAGAAUUCAACUGAAAAUUAGUACAUAUGGUAUGAAACAGGAGAAUGUUACAUAGUCAGAAGUGAAAUCUGUCAGGAGAGAAGCAGGCAGAGAACUAGUCUGACCUCCAAGGCCUGGGAGCAGGUUUUGUAAACAUGGUGAAGUCUCUAGAGGGAAGUGUAACAAUGAGAAGAGUGACCUAUAAAAGGGCCCAGAUGGAGCUCCUAAAGCUAAAUCCAUAGGAAGCAAAUUCACCUGACAGAUUUAACGGUUUUUACUAUAGCUUGAAGAUCUGUGAAUUUGAAAGUAAAGCACUAGAAAUCACCAAAUAAAAUC